rnacentral:lncRNA from 1 species
GUAGUUCUCCUCUCCUCGUUCAGAGCAGUAGGCAGUUUCGCUUCAGACUUGAUACAGUCUCUCCUCAUCCAAGUCUCACAGUCUUGUUCUUGCAAAAUAUCUGCAGCAAUGGCACAAUUUGGCCAUCUGGUGACAGUGUUGAGCCUAUGCCUGCUGGCUGCUGUGGUGAACGCUCAACAGAACACCCCCCCACCUCCUCCUCGUCUGGGACAAGAGAUCUGCACACACUACACUCAGGGUGGGACCCUCCUUCUGGAUGGGCCAAAGGUCUUUGAAAUGAUGCUGAUUGAGUUUGGACGGGCAAUCCAGGUCUGUAUACAUGCAGUUUUCUUAAAGGGAUAGUUCACCCAAAAAAGAAAAUUAUGCCAUUAAUUACUCACCCUCAUGUCGUUCCAAAUCUGUAAGACCUUCGUUCAUCUUUGGAACACAAAUUAAGAUAUUUUUGAUGAAAUCCGAGAGUUUUCUGACCCUGCAUAGAC